rnacentral:rRNA from 1 species
GUGGGGAAUCUUCCGCAAUGGACGAAAGUCUGACGGAGCAACGCCGCGUGAGUGAUGAAGGUCUUCGGAUUGUAAAGCUCUGUUAAUCGGGACGAAAGAGCCUAGUGUGAAUAAUGCUAGGAAGUGACGGUACCGGAAUAGAAAGCCACGGCUAACUACGUGCCAGCAGCCGCGGUAAUACGUAGGUGGCAAGCGUUGUCCGGAAUUAUUGGGCGUAAAGCGCGCGCAGGCGGAUCUGCCAGUCUGUCUUAAAAGUUCGGGGAUUAACCCCGUGAUGGGAUGGAAACUACAGAUCUAGAGUAUCGGAGAGGAAAGUGGAAUUCCUAGUGUAGCGGUGAAAUGCGUAGAUAUAGGAAGGAACACCAGUGGCGAAGGCGACUACCUGGACUGAUACUGACACUGAGGUGCGAAAGCGUGGGGAGCAAACAGGAUUAGAUACCCGUGUAGUCC